CCUACGGGGGGCUGCAGUGGGGAAUAUUGGACAAUGGAGGCAACCCUGAUCCAGCCAUGCCGCGUGUGUGAAGAAGGCCCUCGGGUUGUAAAGCACUUUCAGUGAGGAAGAACGCCUGGUGGUUAAUACCCAUCAGGAAAGACAUCACUCACAGAAGAAGCACCGGCUAACUCCGUGCCAGCAGCCGCGGUAAUACGGAGGGUGCGAGCGUUAAUCGGAAUUACUGGGCGUAAAGCGCGCGUAGGUGGCUUGAUAAGCCGGUUGUGAAAGCCCCGGGCUCAACCUGGGAACGGCAUCCGGAACUGUCAAGCUAGAGUGCAGGAGAGGAAGGUAGAAUUCCCGGUGUAGCGGUGAAAUGCGUAGAGAUCGGGAGGAAUACCAGUGGCGAAGGCGGCCUUCUGGACUGACACUGACACUGAGGUGCGAAAGCGUGGGUAGCAAACAGGAUUAGAUACCCUGGUAGUC
rnacentral:rRNA from 1 species